AUUACUACACAGUAGUAUAAACAGAAUAGAAUACUUUAUUGGCCAAGUGUAAUUAGACAUACAAGGAAUUUGUCUCCAGUGCAUAGGCUCCCAGCGUACAUGCAAAACAACCAAGUAAUAAUAAUCACAAUAUCAAAAUCAUCAUCAUCAUAAUGAUACCAAUAAGAGAAGGU